AGCCUAACCCUAGCCCGACCACCCCUUACCAGCCAAAAGAUUAAAAACCCUCCCCCAUCAAAAAUUAAACCAUUCUACAAACCUAGUAUGGGCGACAGAAAAGACUCUUACACGGCGCGAUAGAGACCUGUACCGCAAGGGAACGAUGAAAUAAUAGUGAAACUCCAAGCAGCGAACAGCAAAGAUAAACUCUUGUACCUUUUGCAUCAUGGUUUAGCAAGAACACCCAAGCAAAAUGAAUUUAAGCUUGCUACCCCGAAACCCAAGCGAGCUACUUGCAAGCAGCUAUCAUUGAGCGAACCCGUCUCUGUUGCAAAAGAGUGGGACGACUUGUUAGUAGAGGUGAAAAGCCUAUCGAGCUGGGUGAUAGCUGGUUGCCUGUAAAACGAAUCCAAGUUCUCUCUUGACCCUUCCUCAUGGAUCUAUAAGCCACCCCCUCACGUAACAGGUCAAGAGUAAUUUAAAGGGGGUACAGCUCCUUUAAAAAAGAACACACUCUCCCCUAGCGGAUAACAGCCACCUCAUUUCCACCUAAUUGUAGGCCUUUAAGCAGCCAUCAACAAAGAGUGCGUCAAAGCUCUUCAUCUAAAAAUACGAAAACAACUAGAAUCCCUUCUCACCAACAGGCUAUUCUAUGUCCAUAGAAGCAUAAAUGCUAAAAUAAGUAACCAGGGAGCCCCCUCUCGAGCGCAAACUUACAUCCCUACAUUAUUAACAGACUAACUUAUAUUCCAACCCAGACAAGACCCAAUAUCAACCCCCUACCCUGUUAAUCCAACUCAGGAGCGCCCACUAGAAAGAUUUAAACCCGUAAAAGGAACUAGGCAAGCCAAAGGCCCGACUGUUUACCAAAAACAUAGCCUUCAGCCUAACCAAGUAUUGAAGGUGAUGCCUGCCCAGUGACAUUACGUUCAACGGCCGCGGUAUCCUAACCGUGCAAAGGUAGCGCAAUCAAUUGUCCCAUAAAUCGAGACUUGUAUGAACGGCUAAACGAGGUCUUAACUGUCUCUUACGGAUAAUCGGUGAAAUUGAUCUUCCUGUGCAAAAGCAGGAAUAAACCCAUAAGACGAGAAGACCCUGUGGAACUUAAAAAUCAGCUGCCACUCUACCCAGACCAAACCCUAUCAGGCACAACAUCCAAGAACUGGCCCGCUUUUUUCGGUUGGGGCGACCUUGGAGAAAAACAAAACCUCCAAAAACAAGACCACCCCUCUUAACCAAGAACAACCCUUCAAAGUACUAACAGUAACCAGACCCAGUAUAACUGAUCAAUGGACCAAGCUACCCCAGGGAUAACAGCGCAAUCUCCCUCAAGAGCCCAUAUCGACAGGGAGGUUUACGACCUCGAUGUUGGAUCAGGACAUCCUAAUGGUGCAGCCGCUAUUAAGGGUUCGUUUGUUCAACGAUUAACAGUCCUACGUGAUCUGAGUUCAGACCGGAGCAAUCCAGGUCGGUUUCUAUCUAUGAUAAAUUCCUUCUAGUACGAAAGGACCGAAGGAAUGAGGCCAAUACCACAAGCAUGCCUCCCCUCUAAGUGAUGAACCCAACUAAACCACUAAAAGGAUCUUCCCCCUCUUCCUAGAAAAGGAACG
rnacentral:rRNA from 1 species